rnacentral:rRNA from 1 species
CCUUUCGUCGCAUGACGGAAAGAAGAAAAGGAAUGGCUCUAUACAAAGCUAUCGCCGAAGAGGGGUUUUGCGUCUGAUUAGCUGGUUGGAGGGGUAACGGCCCAACAAGGCGAUGAUCAGUAGCCGGUCUGAGAGGAUGAACGGCCACAUUGGGACUGAGACACGGCCCAGACUCCUACGGGAGGCAGCAGUGGGGAAUCUUCCGCAAUGGACGAAAGUCUGACGGAGCAACGCCGCGUGAGUGAAGAAGGUCUUCGGAUUGUAAAGCUCUGUUAUACGGGACGAAAAAGACGGAUGCCAACAGUAUCCGUCCGUGACGGUACCGUAAGAGAAAGCCACGGCUAACUACGUGCCAGCAGCCGCGGUAAAU